GAUGAACGCUAGCGGGAGGCCUAACACAUGCAAGCCGAGCGGUAUUGUUUCUUCGGAAAUGAGAGAGCGGCGUACGGGUGCGGAACACGUGUGCAACCUGCCUUUAUCUGGGGGAUAGCCUUUCGAAAGGAAGAUUAAUACUCCAUAAUAUAUUGAACGGCAUCGUUUAAUAUUGAAAGCUCCGGCGGAUAGAGAUGGGCACGCGCAAGAUUAGCUAGUUGGUGAGGUAACGGCUCACCAAGGCGAUGAUCUUUAGGGGGCCUGAGAGGGUGAUCCCCCACACUGGUACUGAGACACGGACCAGACUCCUACGGGAGGCAGCAGUGAGGAAUAUUGGUCAAUGGGUGCAAGCCUGAACCAGCCAUCCCGCGUGAAGGACGACUGCCCUAUGGGUUGUAAACUUCUUUUGUAUAGGGAUAAACCUACCCUCGUGAGGGUAGCUGAAGGUACUAUACGAAUAAGCACCGGCUAACUCCGUGCCAGCAGCCGCGGUAAUACGGAGGGUGCAAGCGUUAUCCGGAUUUAUUGGGUUUAAAGGGUCCGUAGGCGGACUUAUAAGUCAGUGGUGAAAGCCUGUCGCUUAACGAUAGAACUGCCAUUGAUACUGUAAGUCUUGAGUAUAUUUGAGGUAGCUGGAAUAAGUAGUGUAGCGGUGAAAUGCAUAGAUAUUACUUAGAACACCAAUUGCGAAGGCAGGUUACCAAGAUAUAACUGACGCUGAGGGACGAAAGCGUGGGGAGCGAACAGGAUUAGAUACCCUGGUAGUCCACGCCGUAAACGAUGCUAACUCGUUUUUGGGCUUUAGGGUUCAGAGACCAAGCGAAAGUGAUAAGUUAGCCACCUGGGGAGUACGCUCGCAAGAGUGAAACUCAAAGGAAUUGACGAGGGCCCGCACAAGCGGUGGAUUAUGUGGUUUAAUUCGAUGAUACGCGAGGAACCUUACCAAGACUUAAAUGGGAAUUGACAGCUUUAGAAAUAGAGCUUUCUUCGGACAAUUUUCAAGGUGCUGCAUGGUUGUCGUCAGCUCGUGCCGUGAGGUGUUAGGUUAAGUCCUGCAACGAGCGCAACCCCUGUCACUAGUUGCCAUCAUUCAGUUGGGGACUCUAGUGAGACUGCCUACGCAAGUAGAGAGGAAGGUGGGGAUGACGUCAAAUCAUCACGGCCCUUACGUCUUGGGCCACACACGUAAUACAAUGGCCGGUACAGAGGGCAGCUACACAGCGAUGUGAUGCAAAUCUCGAAAGCCGGUCUCAGUUCGGAUUGGAGUCUGCAACUCGACUCUAUGAAGCUGGAAUCGCUAGUAAUCGCGCAUCAGCCAUGGCGCGGUGAAUACGUGCCCGGGCCU
rnacentral:rRNA from 1 species